rnacentral:rRNA from 1 species
GGAGGAAAAGAAACUAACAAGGAUUCCCCUAGUAACGGCGAGUGAAGAGGGAAGAGCCCAAGAUUGAAAGCUGGCGUCUUCGGCGUCCGCAUUGUAAUCUCAAGAAGUGUUUUCCGCUUCGGACCAAGCCUAAGUCCCUUGGAAAAGGGCAUCAUAGAGGGUGAUAAUCCCGUACAUGGCUUGGAGCGCCCGAGGCUUUGUGAUACGCUUUCUAAGAGUCGAGUUGUUUGGGAAUGCAGCUCAAAAUGGGUGGUAAAUGCCAUCUAAGGCUAAAUAUUGGGGAGAGACCGAUAGCGAACAAGUACAGUGAUGGAAAGAUGAAAAGAACUUUGAAAAGAGAGUUAAACAGUACGUGAAAUUGCCAAAAGGGAAGGGUAGGAGGUCAGAGAUGCGGCCUGGGAUUCAGCCUUGCUUUUGCUUGGUGUUUUUCCCAGAUUGCAGGCCAACGUCGGUUUUGGGCACUGGAGAAGGGUGGGAGGAAUGUGGCACCCCUCGGGGUGUGUUAUAGCCUCCUACUGGAUACAGCGACCGAGACCGAGGACAGCAGCGUACUCGCAAGAGCGGGCCUUCGGGCACCUUUACGCUUAGGGCGUUGGCAUAAUGGCCCUCUACCACCCGUCUG